rnacentral:rRNA from 1 species
AUUGAACGCUGGCGGCAGGCCUAACACAUGCAAGUCGAGCGAGCGGCGGACGGGUGAGUAAUGUAUGGGGAUAUGCGCGAUAGAGGGGGAUAACUACUGGAAACGGUGGUCAAUACCGCAUACUAUCGGGGGAACCCAUAUGGGAUUAGCUAGUUGGUGGGGUAAAGGCUCACCAAGGCGACGAUCUCUAGCUGGUCUGAGAGGAUGAUCAGCCACACUGGAACUGAGACACGGCCCAGACGCCUACGGGAGGCAGCAGUGGGGAAUAUUGCACAAUGGGCGCAAGCCUGAUGCAGCCAUGCCGCGUGUAUGAAGAAGGCCUUAGGGUUGUAAAGUACUUUCAGCGGGGAGGCGUUACCCGCAGAAGAAGCACCGGCUAACUCCGUGCCAGCCGCCGCGGUAAUUC